rnacentral:rRNA from 1 species
UACGUAGGGGGCUAGCGUUGUCCGGAUUUAUUGGGCGUAAAGAGCGUGUAGGCGGCCAGGUAGGUCCGUUGUGAAAACUCGAGGCUCAACCUCGAGACGUCGGCGGAAACCCUCUGGCUAGAGGGUGGUAGAGGCGAGUGGAAUUCCCGGUGUAGCGGUGAAAUGCGCAGAUAUCGGGAAGAACACCCGUGGCGAAGGCGGCUCUCUGGGACGGUACUGACGCUGAGACGCGAAAGCGUGGGGAGCGAACAGG